rnacentral:rRNA from 1 species
GUGGGGAAUAUUGGACAAUGGGCGCAAGCCUGAUCCAGCCAUGCCGCGUGAGUGAUGAAGGCCUUAGGGUUGUAAAGCUCUUUUGUCCGGGAAGAUAAUGACUGUACCGGAAGAAUAAGCCCCGGCUAACUUCGUGCCAGCAGCCGCGGUAAUACGAAGGGGGCUAGCGUUGUUCGGAAUCACUGGGCGUAAAGCGCACGUAGGCGGACCAUUAAGUCAGGGGUGAAAGCCUGGAGCUCAACUCCAGAACUGCCUUUGAUACUGAUGGUCUCGAGUAUGGAAGAGGUUUGUGGAACUGCGAGUGUAGAGGUGAAAUUCGUAGAUAUUCGCAAGAACACCGGUGGCGAAGGCGGCCAACUGGUCCAUUACUGACGCUGAGGUGCGAAAGCGUGGGGAGCAAACAGGAUUAGAACCCCCGGUAGUCC